CAGGAAAAGGAGGCUGGAUGAGAUAAGAUUUCAGCAAUACAGCCGAACCUUUGUUCAAUCAUGGAUCCUACAAGGAAGGGAAUCUUCUCGCUGUUACAACAGCAGACAACGGAUUCAAGAUACUUGCAAAUGCUGCUGGUCUCAGAUCUUUAAGACCAUUGAACCCCCCAUCUUUUGAUGCAUUGAGAUCGCCCAUUGAAUCGGCUGCAGCCAAGGUAGCUGGCUCUCCUGCCAUCACAAAUGACAAUCCAGUCAAUUGCAAAGUGGAAAGGAGCUCUCCUGUCAGGCCUUCUCCAAUUAUUAAUGGAGUUGAUCCAAAUGGUAGAAGCAUUGAAAAGCCAAGAACCAAGGAGGAUGUAACUGAUAGAACCAAACCUUGGCAGUUGUCUGAAAUUGUGGAUGCUGUCCAGUUCUGAUUAGUUACCAUGCCUGAAGGCACAGAUUCUUCCAGCAAGGUUGUUCGACUUCUAUAUGCAAAUUCUGGCAUUUGGGUCAGAUGGUGUUCAGAAGCUGUGGAAAUGGGCAGGGAACGAACGAAAUCCAAAUGGAAAGGCCACUGCCAAUAUUGUUCCUCAACACUGGCAACCAAACAGUGGUCUUCUUAUGGCUAAUGAUGUCUCAGGUGUCAUCCUUGAAGAAUCAGUACACCAUGUAUAGCACUAUCAAAAAAUGACUCAUGUGAUGUCAGCCUGUGGUGAAAAGGUUUCAUUAUUUAAUACGAUGACAUUCAAGGUAAUGACAACAUUUAUGCCAGCACCCCCUGCUUCUACCUUCCUAGCAUUUCAUCCUCAAGACAAUAACACACAUCAUAGCUAUUGGAAUGGAGGAUUCAACUAUACACAUAUAAUGUUAGAGUUGAUAAGGUAAAAUCAAAACUGAAGGGACACCAGAAGCGAAUAACUGGUUUAGCUUUCUCAUUGAAUCUUAAUAUCCUGGUUUCGUGGG